ACAGACGUUCUAGAAUCUACUGAUUAUUUAUAAAAAAAAAGUAUAAUCAAGUUAUACGUAGAAACUUCGAUCUAAAUACAAUACACUUUAAUUAGGGGAAAUACGGUUUUUGAAAGUGCGCUUAUAAAGUUAUGACUCAUCACCUAAAGUUGCACAAGAUUUGAUAACUGGUUGUAAAAAUUAAAAUAUUGUUGGAGAAAAUUACAAUAAUAAAAGUUAUCACAGAAAUGUGAACUAUGAUUAUCAAAAAUACAAACCGCUCUGUAAGGCCAUCCUUGACAUGAAGAGGUAGUUUCGAAGCACGUGUAUUCGGGUACAUAAAUGGGGCAUCUGUUUCUACUAAAAGUCUAUCUAAUGGUAUAGAUCCAUCCACCAACAGCUUCCGCACGCCAAUAUCAGAUUUGUCUUUACACAAGUAACCUAGAGAAGAAAACAUAAACAAACAAUUAUGCUAGAUUUUGGUCGAAAACCUGUUAAUCCUAUGUAAAAUCCUCUAGAAAGAUAUGUUAGCGCCUGCUCAGCUGUGCCUGUAAAGCAGUGUAUAAGAACAGGGGGUAAUUGACCUUUGUACUGAUCUAAAAUUUCUAAUAAAUCUUCAUGAGCAUCACGUUCAUGAACAAACAAUG